UUCAGACAGCAAAAAAGAAAUAAAAUCAAAAAUGCAGUCUCAAACGAAUGAGUUGAUAUAUCAACAUAUGCAGUACAAUAAACCAGAGAAACACUACGGUGACGGUUGCAGUGACGUCCACACUAAAACGGAUAAUAAUACAAUACUUUCAUACACCAUGAGUCUGUCUGCAAGGUGUGCAGUGUAUACCGAUACCGAAUUGUGAUGAAGGUGAAAUUAUUGUUGGGCCGUGAGAUGCAAGAGGCCAUACAGAUGUACAAAAUGAUUCGCUUAUGGAUACUAUUUUAUUUAUUAAUAUGAUAUAUAAUAACAAGGAGUACGCCGGUAACGUCGCAGACGACCGUUGCCCGAGGCAGCUGAUUGAGCGUCGACAAAGUCCCGGACAAGGCC